rnacentral:rRNA from 1 species
CUAAUACCGCAUAAGACCACAGCACCGCAUGGUGCAGGGGUAAAAACUCCGGUGGUACAAGAUGGACCCGCGUCUGAUUAGCUAGUUGGCGGGGUAACGGCCCACCAAGCCGACGAUCAGUAGCCGGCCUGAGAGGGUGACCGGCCACAUUGGGACUGAGACACGGCCCAGACUCCUACGGGAGGCAGCAGUGGGGAAUAUUGCACAAUGGGGGAAACCCUGAUGCAGCGACGCCGCGUGAACGAUGAAGUAUUUCGGUAUGUAAAGUUCUAUCAGCAGGGAAGAUAAUGACGGUACCUGACUAAGAAGCUCCGGCUAAAUACGUGCCAGCAGCCGCGGUAAUACGUAUGGAGCAAGCGUUAUCCGGAUUUACUGGGUGUAAAGGGAGCGUAGGCGGUCGUGCAAGUCUGAUGUGAAAGCCCGGGGCUCAACCCCGGGACUGCUAUUGGAAACUGUCCGGACUAGAUUUCCGGAGGGGUAAGUGGAAUUCCUAGUGUAGCGGUGAAAUGCGUAGAUAUUAGGAGGAACACCA